rnacentral:rRNA from 1 species
UACAGAGGUCUCAAGCGUUGUUCGGAUUCAUUGGGCGUAAAGCGCACGUAGGCGGCCUGAUAAGUCGGGUGUGAAAGCCCUGGGCUCAACCCAGGAAGUGCACUCGAAACUGUCAGGCUUGAAUAUGGAAGAGGGUCGCGGAAUUCCCGGUGUAGAGGUGAAAUUCGUAGAUAUCGGGAGGAACACCAGUGGCGAAGGCGGCGCCUGGGCCAAUAUUGACGCUGAGGUGCGAAAGCGUGGGGAGCAAACAGGG